rnacentral:rRNA from 1 species
UACAGAGGUCUCAAGCGUUGUUCGGAUUCAUUGGGCGUAAAGGGUGCGUAGGCGGCGCGGUAAGUCGGGUGUGAAAUCUCGGGGCUUAACUCCGAAACUGCAUUCGAUACUGCCGUGCUAGAGGACUGGAGAGGAGACUGGAAUUUACGGUGUAGCGGUGAAAUGCGUAGAUAUCGUAAGGAAGACCAGUGGCGAAGGCGGGUCUCUGGACAGUUCCUGACGCUGAGGCACGAAGGCCAGGGGAGCAAACGGG